ACACUUUUAACUUAAUGGUAAAAGUAUCAAUCUUCGAAAUUGAAAAUAUAGGUUCGAAUCCUAUAAAGUGUG
rnacentral:tRNA from 1 species